AAGAAGAAGAGCAAACCCAUAUAGCAUUUAACAAAAAUUAACAAAACUCAUACAAAUUAACACAACAAAUUGCCAAAUUCUAACAAUAACAAGUAGAUUUUUUAAAGAUCUAAGAAAAAGAUCCAUCAAUUUCAAAUUUCAUGUAGAAAUUACCAUAACCUCUAGAAGAUUGCAGAAACCUUUACUUGUUUAGAUCACUUUGUCGAGGAAGACUAACUGGUUGCCGUAUGGAAAUGGGCGACAAUGAUGGUCGUAUGGAGAUGGGUGAUAAUGAUGUGGCGCUCGCGGAGACGUCGAGAUUUGAGUUUUGGUGGCUGUCUAUGUUUCCGUUGAAAGAAGCUCUGCGUUUAUAAAAU
rnacentral:lncRNA from 1 species